rnacentral:rRNA from 1 species
GACGAACGCUGGCGGCGUGCUUAACACAUGCAAGUCGAACGGUAAGGCCCUUCGGGGUACACGAGUGGCGAACGGGUGAGUAACACGUGGGUGAUCUGCCCUGCACUUCGGGAUAAGCCUGGGAAACUGGGUCUAAUACCGGAUAGGACCACUGCCUGCAUGGGUGGUGGUGGAAAGCUUUUGCGGUGUGGGAUGGGCCCGCGGCCUAUCAGCUUGUUGGUGGGGUGAUGGCCUACCAAGGCGACGACGGGUAGCCGGCCUGAGGGGGUGACCGGCCACACUGGGACUGAGAUACGGCCCAGACUCCUACGGGAGGCGGCAGUGGGGAAUAUUGCACAAUGGGCGCAAGCCUGAUGCAGCGACGCCGCGUGAGGGAUGACGGCCUUCGGGUUGUAAACCUCUUUCAGCACCGACGAAGCGCAAGUGACGGUAGGUGCAGAAGAAGGACCGGCCAACUACGUGCCAGCAGCCGCGGUAA